rnacentral:tRNA from 1 species
GGGAGGGUAGUCUAGCUUGGUAUGAUUCCUGGUUUGGGACCAGGAGGUCGGGGGUUCGAAUCCCUCCUCUCCCA